GAUUUAUAAAGAAGUGGCGAGAGACCGGCUCUAAGACCCACUGGCAACCAUCCGAAGCGUUCGGAAAAGGUGCCAAAUCCUGUCCCAGAUAAAUGGGAGCAUAUAAAUG
rnacentral:ncRNA from 2 species